rnacentral:rRNA from 1 species
AUACGAAGGGUGCAAGCGUUAAUCGGAAUUACUGGGCGUAAAGCGCGCGUAGGUGGUUUUGUAAGUUGGAGGUGAAAGCCCCGGGCUCAACCUGGGAAUUGCCUCCAAAACUGCAUGACUAGAGUACGGUAGAGGGUAGUGGAAUUUCCUGUGUAGCGGUGAAAUGCGUAGAUAUAGGAAGGAACACCAGUGGCAAAGGCGAAUACCAGACCUAAUCAUGACACUGAGGUGCGAAAGCGUGGGGGGAAAACAGAAUUAGAACCCCGGGUAUAGCAAGCCGUAAACGAUGUCAACUAGCCGUUGGGAUCAUUGAGAUCUUAGUGGUGCAGCUAACGCAUUAAGUGGAACGCCUGGGGAGUUCGGCCGCAAGGUUAAAUCUCAAAUGAAUUGGCGGGG